UACGGAGGGGGCAAGCGUUGUUCGGAGUUACUGGGCGUAAAGGGCUCGUAGGCGGCCAACUAAGUCAGACGUGAAAUCCCCCGGCUUAACCUGGGAACUGCGUCUGAUACUGGACGGCUUGAGUAUGGGAGAGGGAUGUAGAAUUCCAGGUGUAGCGGUGAAAUGCGUAGAUAUCUGGAGGAACACCGGUGGCGAAGGCGGCAUCCUGGACCGGUAUUGACGCUGAGGCGCGAAAGCUAGGGGAGCAAACGGGG
rnacentral:rRNA from 1 species